UACGUAGGGCGCGAGCGUUGUCCGGAUUUAUUGGGCGUAAAGAGCUCGUAGGCGGCUUGUCGCGUCGAAUGUGAAAACUCGGGGCUCAACCCCGCGCUUGCAUUCGAUACGGGCAGGCUCGAGUUCGGUAGGGGAGACUGGAAUUCCUGGUGUAGCGGUGAAAUGCGCAGAUAUCAGGAGGAACACCGGUGGCGAAGGCGGGUCUCGUGGGCAACAACGUGACGCUGAGGAGCGAAAGCGUGGGGAGCGAACAGG
rnacentral:rRNA from 1 species